AACGAACGCUGGCGGCAGGCCUAAAACAUGCAAGUCGAACGGGUGUAGCAAUACAUCAGUGGCGCACGGGUGAGUAACGCGUGGGAACGUGCCCUUCAGUACGGGACAACGUCGGGAAACUGACGCUAAUACCGUAUAAUAUCUCCGGAUCAAAGAUUUAUCGCUGAGGGAGCGGCCCGCGUCUGAUUAGCUAGUUGGUGAGGUAAUGGCUCACCAAGGCUACGAUCAGUAGCAGGUCGGGGAGGAUGAUCUGCCACACUGGGUCUGAGACACGGCCCAGACUCCUGCGGGAGGCAGCAGUUAGGAAUAUUGGACAAUGGGGGAAACCCUGAUCCAGACAUGGCGCGUGUGUGAUGAAGGCCCUAGGGUUGUAAAGCACUUUCGUUGGGGAUGAUAAUGACCGUACCCAAAGAAGAAGCCACGGCUAAAUUCGUGCCAGCCGCCGCUGUAA
rnacentral:rRNA from 1 species